GCAGCGGAUCCGCAUGGAUAUGUUGUUAAAGGUUUACCGCCUUGGGAUAGGCUUGCGUCUGAUUAGCUAGUUGGUGUGGUAAUGGCACACCAAGGCUACGAUCAGUAACUGGUCUGAGAGGAUGAUCAGUCACACUGGAACUGAGACACGGUCCAGACUCCUACGGGAGGCAGCAGUGAGGAAUAUUGGGCAAUGCACGAAAGUGUGACCCAGCAACGCCGCGUGGAGGAUGAAGGUAUUCUAUAUCGUAAACUCCUGUGAGAGCAGACGAAAGACAGAUUAUUAAUUUGGAUGACUGUAUGCUCAGAGGAAGCCCCGGCUAACUACGUG
rnacentral:rRNA from 1 species